GCCAGCAUGGUGUAGUGGUUUGUAUGCUGGACUAUGACUCUGGAGACCAAGGUUCAAAUCCUGGCUUGAGCA